rnacentral:rRNA from 1 species
UACGUAGGGGGCAAGCGUUAUCCGGAGUUACUGGGCGUAAAGCGCGGGCAGGCGGUCUUGCCAGUCUGAUGUGAAAUCUCUCAGCUCAACUGGGAGCAGCCAUUGGAAACUACAAGACUGGAGUCUGGCAGAGGUAGGCGGAAUUCCGGGUGGAGUGGUGAAAUGCGUAGAGAUCCGGAGGAACACCAGAGGCGAAGGCGGCCUACUGGGCCAGUACUGACGCUGAGCCGCGAAAGCCAGGGGAGCGAACGGG